ensembl:snoRNA SNORA55 Small nucleolar RNA SNORA55
GCACUCCAGCAAACCCUGUCCUCUUUCAUUGGUGGAUCUGGGUAAAAGUAGUGCAAGAGUAAUUCUGAGUAUAUCCAGAUGAGCUUCUGCCACUGUUGGAGCUCGUCCCUACAACCUCUGAAACAAUG